GCAGGACUGAGCAGAGUUUCCCUUUCUUGGUGAAUUUGAGCUCAUCGCGGCAUGGAAAGUGCCAGAUGACACAUGCAACAACAGAGGCUGGAAACGAUGCUUUCUUUUUAGAAAUUAAAGAUCAUAAGGGGAUGUGUGAUUUCCAACAUUUGCUGGACCCUGUUCUCAGUGGGAGGUGGGAUCUCUGAAGAUCCUUGCUGGUCUUCCCCAGUCAGGCCGGCGAACUGGGUCCUCAGGUAGCGAAGCCACUCUCUUGCACCGUCUUCCUCUUUUUCUGCGGAGAUGCUGACUUUCGUUACCACCUAACAGUGGUAACUUACCGGUAGUGGUAAGUGGUCAAAAGCGUUUUUUUCCGGAAGUUGAUCUCUGGUUUUCAAGAAUGGCCCCUGGAGACCCAGUUUUGUUUUCUAUGUAAUUAUUAGAGCUCUCAGAACAACCUGACUUUCUCAGUGCUGUGGGCACGGAGUGGAUGCUGGUUUGCUCUUCUUCCUGCACAGCUGGGAAAUCUCCCUGUGGGUGAGGGGUGAGGCAGACCCAGGUGAGCAGGUGGGAAGCCGUCCUGGGCUGGAGAG
rnacentral:lncRNA from 1 species